rnacentral:rRNA from 1 species
CAGCUAGUUGGUGGGGUAAAGGCCCACCAAGGCAUCGAUCAGUAGCUGGUCUGAGAGGACGACCAGCCACACUGGAACUGAGACACGGUCCAGACUCCUACGGGAGGCAGCAGUGGGGAAUUUUGGACAAUGGGCGCAAGCCUGAUCCAGCAAUGCCGCGUGAGUGAAGAAGGCCUUCGGGUUGUAAAGCUCUUUUGUCAGGGAAGAAACGGCUACCUCUAAUACAGGUGGCUAAUGACGGUACCUGAAGAAUAAGCACCGGCUAACUACGUGCCAGCAGCCGCGGUAAUACGUAGGGUGCAAGCGUUAAUCGGAAUUACUGGGCGUAAAGCGUGCGCAGGCGGUUUUGUAAGUCUGUCGUGAAAUCCCCGGGCUCAACCUGGGAAUGGCGAUGGAGACUGCAAGGCUAGAGUUUGGCAGAGGGGGGUAGAAUUCCACGUGUAGCAGUGAAAUGCGUAGA